GCCGCACUAGAGAAAUGGUUAACUCGUCGGCCUUCUACAUGAUUAGAAAGCCGAAGAUUCUGGGUUCGAGUCCCAGGUGCGGUG